GGGUCAGUAGGUUGGUCGUGCCACCGGUACGUACUGGUCUCACUGAUUCCUCCUUCCUGAAGAACCGUAAUGCCGUUAAUUUGGUGUUGCGGGGAAACAGGACUGUUACUUUGAAAAAAUUAGAGUGUUUAAAGCAAGCUAACGCCUGAAUACAUUAGCAUGGAAUAAUGAAAUAGGACGAUCGAUCCUAUUUUGUUGGUUUCUAGGAUUGACGUA
rnacentral:rRNA from 1 species